AUUGAACGCUGGCGGCAGGCCUAACACAUGCAAGUCGAACGGGUGGCGGACGGGUGAGUAAUGUCUGGGAAACUGACUGAUGGAGGGGGAUAACAAAUGGACACGAAGGCUAAUAACGCAUUCCACAGCCUGUGCCCAGGUGGGAUGAGGUAGUGGGUGGGGUAAAGGCUCACAUAGGCGACGAGCCCUAGCUGGUCUGAGAGGAUGACCAGCCACACUGGAACUGAGACACGGUCCAGACUCCUACGGGAGGCAGCAGUGGGGAAUAUUGCACAAUGGGCGCAAGCCUGAUGCAGCCAUGCCGCGUGUAUGAAGAAGGCCUUCGGAUUGUAAAGUACUUUCAGCGGGGAGGCGUUACCAGCAGAAGAAGCACCGGCUAACUCCGUGCCAGCAGCCGCGGUAAUUC
rnacentral:rRNA from 1 species